rnacentral:rRNA from 1 species
UACAGAGGGUGCGAGCGUUAAUCGGAAUUACUGGGCGUAAAGCGUGCGUAGACGGUUAUUUAAGUCGGAUGUGAAAGCCCCGGGCUCAACCUGGGAAUUGCAUUCGAGACUGAAUAGCUAAGGUGCGGUAGAGGGAAGCGGAAUUUCCGGUGUAGCGGUGAAAUGCGUAGAUAUCGGAAGGAACAUCAGUGGCGAAAGCGGCUUCCUGGACCAGCACCGACGUUCAGGCACGAAAGCGUGGGGAGCAAACAGG